rnacentral:rRNA from 1 species
AUUGAACGCUGGCGGCAUGCCUUACACAUGCAAGUCGAACGGCAGCACGGGAGCAAUCCUGGUGGCGAGUGGCGAACGGGUGAGUAAAGUAUCGGAACGUGCCCAGUCGUGGGGGAUAACGUAGCGAAAGUUACGCCAAUACCGCAUACGAUCUAUGGAUGAAAGCGGGGGAUCGCAAGACCUCGCGCGAUUGGAGCGGCCGAUAUCAGAUUAGGUAGUUGGUGGGGUAAAGGCUCACCAAGCCGACGAUCUGUAGCUGGUCUGAGAGGACGACCAGCCACACUGGGACUGAGACACGGCCCAGACGCCUACGGGAGGCAGCAGUGGGGAAUUUUGGACAAUGGGCGAAAGCCUGAUCCAGCCAUGCCGCGUGCAGGAUGAAGGCCUUCGGGUUGUAAAAUGCUUUUGUACGGAACGAAAAGGUUUGGCCUAAUAAGCUGAGCUCAUGACGGUACCGUAAGAAUAAGCACCGGCUAACUACGUGCCAGCCGCCGCGGUAACAC